UGAAAUAAUGUAACUCUAGCCCUAUUUGCAUUGGACUAGUAUUACCAGGGGACCUCUAGUCAUUUGUAAUGAUUACGGAGGUUGUCUGUGAUCCUAAUCCCGUGCAAAUUGGCCUUGUCUUUAAUUUUUUAAGU